UACGUAGGGGGCAAGCGUUGUCCGGAUUUACUGGGCGUAAAGCGCGUGUAGGCGGUUGCCAAAGUCGGGUGUGAAAGCCUUGAGCUCAACUCAAGAAUUGCACUCGAUACUUGGUGACUAGAGGACCGGAGAGGAUAGUGGAAUUCCCAGUGUAGUGGUGAAAUACGUAGAGAUUGGGAAGAACACCAGUGGCGAAGGCGGCUAUCUGGACGGUUUCUGACGCUAAGACGCGAAAGCGUGGGGAGCAAACAGG
rnacentral:rRNA from 1 species